ACAUGGGUCUGCAGCUACUGAGCUGAUCACAAGGACUAAAAUGGGAGCACUGUAGAGGAAAAACAUUUUCAGCCUGAUCAAUAUGAAGAAACCCAAUGUCUACUAAAAAUACAAAAUUAGAGGAGAGUAGGUUCCAAGAUGGCCAAAUAGGAAUAGCUCCAGUCUAGAGCACCCAGCGUGAGUAACACAGAAGACGGGUGAUUUCUGCAUUGCCAACUGAGUAUGUAUGAUUGUGUGGCCUGACAAUCUCAGAAAGUAAAUGCAAAGAAAUUGAAAGACACGGAAAGACUAGGCCAGGACCAGCACUGGCCUUAAUAGCCAGUUCACUGAGAUGGGUGCAUUUCUUCUCAUCUCAGAGGAUGUUUCUCUUCCACAGGAAGAGGAAGGAACCAGUUGUUACUGGAUGUGUGGGCUGAGAGCUGUCGGGCAUUUU